GGGCGGGAGCGGGAAGCUGCGGGAACAGCACCUCCUUCCGCGCGUCGCAAGAACUGCAGCACGCGGGGGCGCAGCCUCGACCGGAGGGAGGAGCCUGAGGCUCAGGCGGCACCGGGCUUCCCCGACUUGAGGUUCCCUCCGUCAGCUGCGUUAGGACUUUCCUCCCGGGUUCAGUUGUACCUCUCGCUCUCCCUUCUUUCGGUCUGACUUCAGUCUGGGCCCGGGGUCGGCACCGCCGCGGAGAAUCCUCCACCAGAGCUGUGAUCGUUCCUUACCCGGUGUCGGGAUGCCUUCCUCAUGGGGCGCCUUUCCGGGGUGGGGGCGCUCCUGAGACGUUUAGCACACAUUCGGUUCUAGCAGAGGGCAUCUUUAAACGUGUUUUGGUUUUUUUGUUUGUUUGUUUGUUUGUUUUGUUUUUGUUUUUGGUUUUGGUUUUGGUUUGGUUUGGCUUUUUGCUCAUCAGUUGGUGCUUGCUGAGAAAUCAGUAUUCCUCGCCUGCUCCGCCACAUAGGUUGAGUGAAUUAGAAGCCCGGGGCAAAACUGCAAAGACUGUCUUGGGGGUCCUUUUCUGUACAGGGUUUUUUGUUUGUUUUGUUUUUGUUUUAAGCACCAAGAGCCUAGGACCAGGUGGUUCUCGAAACCCUUCCCAUGACGCGCAAAUCCUCACGGUGCCCCAAGGCAUCACAGUUCUAACUACUAGGACUAAUUUGAGUCGUUAACUUUUUAAAAGUUAUUUGCUACGCGAUAGUAUCUGAAUGUGCUAACAGGUUCGCCUCUUAAUAGCAGUCUGUGCAAUCUUGAGGCAAAGGUGGGGAGGCGGGGAGAGAGAAGAAGAAAGAGAAUUUCAAUUUCAAAUAAAAAGAGUUGCCUAAAGAGAUUAUCUGUUGACCUAGACUUACAUGUACAGAACGAUGGGGCGCCCGUCGCGAAGAGCCUCAGCGCCUGCUCUGAGACAGCCGUGAUCACCCCUGACUGCCAAGGAGAGUAAGGCUCAGCAAGGAGUAGACAUUGUUGUCUUGUUCAACACUGCAUUCCUGGGGCUCCUCGGACUACCUGGCGCGCAGUAGGCCUGGGUGUCCCUCCUGUGAGAAGAGGAGGAAAUGAUCAUAGUCACCGUGAUUCUACACAGAUACAAACGUACCUCACAAACCGGCGUGAAAGCAAGAGAGGAGGAGGAGAGGUCGCCCAGCAGCACAGGGGGCAGGGAAGUGCAGGCUGGGGGGAGGGGGGACGGUCUGACCUGGGAUUAGUGGCGAAGGGGCGCAGGGCUCGGGAGCGGCGAGAGGGAGCGCCUGG